CAGAGGCUAGAGGGAAAAUCCUCUGCUCCAUCGGGGAUCGAACCCCGGUCGUCCAGCCCGUAGCUAGUCACUAUACUGACUGACUGCAUACAAAUUUAAUAAGAAUUAUUGUCAUAUAAUCGACAACGCAUAAUGAAGUAACAUUUUAUCAAUAUGUGGAAAAACUUUUACCUUUCCAUAUGUUUAACCACCUGUAACGAGUGAGUGAUUUAAUGACUUUUUCCAAACACUGUGAACGCUUGUAAUAAUGGACUCCUGCUGCGCGUACACUCGAUAUUUUUCCUACUUCCCCUCCCUUGAAAAAGAUUUCUCAUUAGCUCAAGAUACGUUAUUUUGUAUCACAGUUACAUUUAGAGGCGUAAAGGCAGAGGAUUUCCUGGCCAGCCGAGUAUCAUCAGCCACUCGGACACCGAUCCAUGGAGUAGUAAGAUUCAGGCAACUAUUAAAAUGAAAACUUACAUAUGUGGAAAUUAUUUCAUAAAAGAAGGGCUCUUACAGAUACCUUCAUGAUUAGUGCUUCCUAUUUAGUGGUUUUCUGAAUCAGCAUUGAAGUCAAACUAAAAUGUAUUUUACUCCUGUAUAUUUUUUCCAGGCCGAAAAAGGAACUACAAUGAAGUUUUGAAGAGGAACUGCAAAGGAAACAAAUUAAAUCUGUAGGAAAUAUUAGGUUUAUUGGCGAGGUCUUCAAAUUAGGGAUGCUGGCAACAAACAUAAUGUAGCGAUGUGUAAAGCAUCUUUUUUCGGAAGGAAAUGAGCAGUCCUUGGAGUGUCUGUGUGAAACUUCUGACGACAGUUGGAAAGGAUUUGGAGAGCAAGGACCAAAAUCUGUCUGACUGGUUCAGGAAGAUGAAGGAUCUCUCUCAGAAAAGGGAUAUCAUCUCGAACAAAACGAGAUUCAUGAUUCAAGAUGUAACAGACCUCUAGAAAGGCAAGUGGAUACCAAGGAGGAGUGACUCGGCCCCCAAGACUAUGGACCAGAUCGAGAAUGAAGCAGAGAAGUGAGAUUAGACGAUCAACUGGGACUGAAUUCUGUACCCCAAUUACCUCCUCUGAAAGAUGAUAGUGGCAUAUAAAAGACAGAGAGUGUAACAAAACAGCCCCAUGGGGCUGAAAGAUGUAUACAAAAUUAAAUUGUAAACGUUUGUAUUCAAUAAACGUGGUUGCCUUGUUUUGUUA